AAGAAGAGUUGUUGUUGUCCUCCGAACAAAUAUGAAAUAUAUAAUUUGACAUUUGGCAACUCUGGUUUAUCACCAAAGGAAUGCAAGGUAGCGGUUCUGUGUCAGUAUGUUUACUUAGAAACAAUGAGUUAAUCGAAACGUGCUUUUGUUGUUGCCCUACUUAAUUUUCGUGGGCUGCAGUCACUUGUUGCCUGCUGCCUUCAAUGUGAUUAUGUUCCUGUGCCUGGCAGAUCAGCGACUCUUUAGUGAAUUAAAAUAUCGUGAGUUUUCUGGUGCGACUGGUGUGUGGAUUUGUUUGCUACUACUAUUUUGUUUUGUUUUAAAAGAGAUAAUAAAGGUACAUGUGUGACUUAAACUUAAAUUUUAAAUAUGUAAAUACAUGAGGAUGCGACUGCUGAUGCCUGAUGCCUCUUCUAUCAUUCUUGGUCACCUCUUGCUUGCUGCCUUCAGUGUGAUUAUGUUCCUGUGCCUGGCAGAUCAGCGACUCUUUAGUAAAUUGAAAAAAAUCGGUACAUUUGUGACUUAAAUCAUAAUUAUUGGCUGGCAUAUUGCAAUUUUUAAUAAAUUCGUGAGGAUGCUGCCUGCUGAUACCUGAUGCUUCUCCUUUCAUUCUUGGUCACCGCUUGCUUGCUGCUUUCAGUGUGAUUAUGUUCGUCUGGGUAGACGUCUGGAAAAAUCUUGAGAGUUGAUAAAGGUAUUAUUCAUGUGAGACUUAAAACAUAAUUGUUGGCUGGCAAGGAGGAUGCUGCCUACUGUUGCGUGGAGACAUUUUAUGGUCAUGAGCGCCGGAUUGUUCUGUCGUACGUACACAAU